AAGGAAUUAACUCAAUUGGCAGAGUAACCGUUUUACACACGGUAUGUUAUAGAUUCGAAUUCUAUAUUCCUUA
rnacentral:tRNA from 2 species